rnacentral:rRNA from 1 species
CCUACGGGAGGCAGCAGUGGGGAAUAUUGCACAAUGGGCGCAAGCCUGAUGCAGCCAUGCCGCGUGUAUGAAGAAGGCCUUCGGGUUGUAAAGUACUUUCAGCGGGGAGGAAGGCGAUGUGGUUAAUAACCGCAUCGAUUGACGUUACCCGCAGAAGAAGCACCGGCUAACUCCGUGCCAGCAGCCGCGGUAAU